AUUGCAGCACAUAUGCAAACUCAAGUAGCUUCAAAAACAAGCAUUAUGGUUAAUUAAGAGAAAAGGAAAGAAUGUGCAUCCAGGAGUUCAUAAACAAGCUUACUAAAAACAAAAAAUUGACUAAAGGGGGCAAAUUAAGAGAAAAAUGUUUCUAAUUCAGCAGCUCUGGACUUAAAAUGCACUAACCAUUACCCCCAAGAGGACAAUGCAAAAGUGUCAAGUAACAGAAAAACCCAUUGCCAACCCAACCUCUAUGAAUGACUGAUGGGUAGCAGAUCAUGUGACAAUACUCAAUCACGAGGUGAUACACUGGAUGAGAAUUAAGAAUUCCAGAUUAUAGUUAUGUAGAAUGGAAUUAAAAACCAACUCCGUUGGACUACUGAGGAAAAUUUUCUCGAAAACAGGCACGAAUUUAAAAUUAUAGUAGUUCUUCUUCUCCAAAAAAAAAAUUGUACACGUUCUCUCGCUGCGUCAAAUGAACGAAUAUUUUCCUAGCAACCAAACAAUAGAAAGCAGGUGAUCGCAUCCAAUAAAUAAAUAAAAGAGAGCUUUACUUACAGUUAGGGCACAAAAAACGAAUUGCAGGGAAUGAUUCGACAAAGAAAGUGAAAAGGAAAAGGCACUUGUGAUCUAUCUCUGUUUAAGCCUGCAGUGCUAGGGUUUUAGUGGAAAUUAAAGUAAAAGGGAAUUUUGAAGAAGAAUGGAGGGGGGAUAGGAUUCAACUCCCGUGAUUUUGAAACAUCCGGCGGUGCAAUAAUUAAAAAAAUUAAAUUUGAAAUAAAUUGGAUUAAUUAUUAAAAAAUAUCAAAAUAAAAA
rnacentral:misc_RNA from 1 species